rnacentral:tRNA from 1 species
GCACCCGUAGCUCAAUUGGAUAGAGCACCGGUCUACGAAACCGGAGGUUACUGGUUCGAGCCCAGUCAGGUGUA